rnacentral:rRNA from 1 species
AUUGAACGCUGGCGGCAUGCCUUACACAUGCAAGUCGAACGGCAGCAUGAUCUAGCUUGCUAGAUUGAUGGCGAGUGGCGAACGGGUGAGUAAUACAUCGGAACGUGCCCUGUAGUGGGGGAUAACUAGUCGAAAGAUUAGCUAAUACCGCAUACGACCUGAGGGUGAAAGUGGGGGACCGCAAGGCCUCAUGCUAUAGGAGCGGCCGAUGUCUGAUUAGCUAGUUGGUGAGGUAAAGGCUCACCAAGGCGACGAUCAGUAGCUGGUCUGAGAGGACGAUGAGCGAGACGGGGAGUGGGGCGCGGCGGAGGGGGCUACGGGAGGCGGCAGUGGGGAAUUUUGGACGAUGGGCGAAAGGCUGAUCCAGCAAUGCCGGGUGUGUGAAGAAGGCCUUCGGGUUGUAAAGCACUUUUGUCCGGAAAGAAAUGGCUCUGGUUAAUACCUGGGGUCGAUGACGGUACCGGAAGAAUAAGGACCGGCUAACUACGUG